GUUCUUUCGCAGCGGCAAUUUCAUAGUCUAUGAAGUUGUACUGAGACGUGAUUAUUGUUGGUUGAAAACUUAACCCAAUACCCUGCCGAGAUGUCUUGAAAUAUAGUCAGCUCUGGCAAUUUUUGUUAGUCUCAUGGGAGA
rnacentral:snRNA from 1 species